rnacentral:lncRNA from 1 species
UAUAUAUAUAUAUGUAUAUAUAUAGAGAGAUAUAAAUCUAAGUCUUUCAAUCUUGUAAAUGUGUUUACUGAUACUAUUACGAAAACUCUUAAGCGACACAUCGAACACGCAAAUAAUCAUGAAAACGAAUCACAAUAUUAAUGUUGAAAUUAUUUUAUCAUUCAAAAAUAUUGAUUUAGUGUUACUCUAAACAUCUAGGAUAAUUGUCCUCGUUCGUUCUCUUGGAAUUCUCCAUCCUUACUCGUGCGCUUUACAAGAAAUCGCAACGCAAUCAAUGUUGAUUUAUCAAGAUACAAGAAAGCAAGCUAGGAUGGCCUAGAAACUCAUUUUAGAAAUAAACUAUUGUUGAAUUUAUAUUUGGAUGUUUGAAACUUUGUAUUAUCCUUUAGAAUUUAAUAAAAUGAUUUAAUUUAUAUUGUCACAUUUAGUGUUAUGUUGUUUUGAGCAAUUUGUUCGUCUCAUCCCGAUGUUUCCGCUAUCGGUUGGGAAUCUGGCUUCUUAG